rnacentral:rRNA from 1 species
AUAAAUUUGUUUAAGAGCAAUGGAAGGAUGCCUUGGGUAAAAAAGAGUGAAGGACGUGACAGGCUGCGAAAAGCUACGAUGAGGUGCCAAUAGCCGCUAUGAAUCGUAGAUCUCCGAAGGGGUAACCUGACUGCUAUAAGCGGUCACCAGGAUGGUAAAAACCCGGUGAAGUGAAAUAUCUCAGUAACCGGAGGAAAAGAAAUCGUAAUGAGAUUCCCUUAGUAGUGACGAGCGAACAGGGAAGAGCCCAAACCGUAUCGGUUCGCCGAUAGCGGGGUUGUAGGAUAAAUCAUAUGGAGUUACAAAAUAUGGUUAGAAGAACUACUUAAAAGGUAGACCAUAGAGGGUUUAAGUCCCGUAUUUGAAAAUCAUGUUUACUUCGAUUUACUCCUGAGUAGUGUCAAACACGUGAAAUUUGGCAUGAAUCUGCCCAGACCAUUGGGUAAGGCUAAAUACUUUUUUACACCGAUAGCGGAUAGUACCGUGAGGG